AGUGAACGCUGGCGGUAGGCCUAACACAUGCAAGUCGAACGGCAGCACAGGAGAGCUUGCUCUCUAGGUGGCGAGUGGCGGACGGGUGAGGAAUACAUCGGAAUCUGCCCAGUCGUGGGGGAUAACGUAGGGAAACUUACGCUAAUACCGCAUACGACCUUCGGGUGAAAGAGGGGGAUCGCAAGACCUCUCGCGAUUGGAUGAGCCGAUGUCGGAUUAGCUAGUUAGCGGGGUAAUGGCCCACCAAGGCGACGAUCCGUAGCUGGGCUGAGAGGAUGAUCAGCCACACUGGAACUGAGACACGGUCCAGACUCCUACGGGAGGCAGCAGUGGGGAAUAUUGGACAAUGGGCGCAAGCCUGAUCCAGCCAUACCGCGUGGGUGAAGAAGGCCUUCGGGUUGUAAAGCCCUUUUGUUGGGAAAGAAAUCUUUCAGGCUAAUACCCUGGGAGGAUGACGGUACCCAAAGAAUAAGCACCGGCUAACUUCGUG
rnacentral:rRNA from 1 species